rnacentral:rRNA from 1 species
UAGGGAAUCUUCCACAAUGGGCGCANNNCUGAUGGAGCAACACCGCGUGAGUGAAGAAGGGUUUCGGCUCGUAAAGCUCUGUUGUUAAAGAAGAACACGUAUGAGAGCAACUGUUCCUACGUUGACGGUAUUUAACCAGAAAGUCACGGCNAACUACGUGCCAGCAGCCGCGGUAAUACGUAGGUGGCAAGCGUUAUCCGGAUUUAUUGGGCGUAAAGAGAGUGCCGGCGGUUUUCUAAGUUUGAUGUGAAAGCCUUCGGCUUAACCGGAGAAGUGCAUCGGAAACUGGAUAACUUGAGUGCAGAAGAGGGUAGUGGAACUCCAUGUGUAGCGGUGGAAUGCGUAGAUAUAUGGAAGAACACCAGUGGCGAAGGCGGCUACCUGGUCUGCAACUGACGCUGAGACUCGAAAGCAUGGGUAGCGAACAGGAUUAGAUACCCUGGUAGUCCAUGCCGUAAACGAUGAGUGCUAGGUGUUGGAGGGUUUCCGCCCUUCAGUGCCGGAGCUAACGCAUUAAGCACUCCGCCUGGGGAGUACGACCGCAAGGUUG